GAUGAACGCUGGCGGCGUGCCUAAUACAUGCAAGUCGAGCGAACAGACGAGGAGCUUGCUCCUCUGACGUUAGCGGCGGACGGGUGAGUAACACGUGGAUAACCUACCUAUAAGACUGGGAUAACUUCGGGAAACCGGAGCUAAUACCGGAUAAUAUAUUGAACCGCAUGGUUCAAUAGUGAAAGACGGUUUUGCUGUCACUUAUAGAUGGAUCCGCGCCGCAUUAGCUAGUUGGUAAGGUAACGGCUUACCAAGGCAACGAUGCGUAGACGACCUGAGAGGGUGAUCGCCCACACUGGAACUGAGACACGGUCCAGACUCCUACGGGAGGCAGCAGUAGGGAAUGUUCCGCAAUGGGGGAAAGCCUGACGGAGCAACGCCGCGUGAGUGAUGAAGGUCUUGGGAUCGUAAAACUCUGUUAUUAGGGAAGAACAAAUGUGUAAGUAACUAUGCACGUCUUGACGGUACCUAAUCAGAAAGCCACGGCUAACUACGUG
rnacentral:rRNA from 1 species